AUGUCUCACAGGCAUCUCAGACGUCAAGUAGAAGUUUGGGAGCCACUUUAGCAGCUGUAUUCAGCCACUCCCAUUCCUUCUUUACUCCAAAAUAUACCUCAGGUCAGUCAAUUCCUGUAGGGAAAAUUCUGCCUUUUGUAAACAAAGUCUAGCUGUCACUGGACGGAGAAGCCAUGUCUGUGAUUCCAGAGACAAAGCUGCGCUCUUUGACAAGAUUUGUUUCACUGGAGACUCAAUGAUAACAAAAAAGAAGUAAACGCGGGUCAUGCUGUGACACAA